rnacentral:tRNA from 1 species
UAUGUUAUUAGUAUAAUCCAUAUUAUAUCACUUUUCCAAAGUGGAGAUCUAGUUUUAGAUAACAUAA